GGUAGAGAGAGACAGACAGAUAGAGAGAGACAGAGAGAGAGAGAAUGAAAGACAGAGAGAGGUAGAGAGAGACAGACAGAUAGAUAGAGACAGAGAGAGAGAGAAUGAAAGACAGACAGAGAGUUAGAGAGAGACAGACAGAUAGAGAGAGACAGAGAGAGAGAAUGAAAGACAGAGAGAGAGAGGUAGAGAGAGACAGACAGAUAGAGAGAGACAGAGAGAGAGAAUGAAAGACAGAGAGAGGUAGAGAGAGAGAGACAGACAGAUAGAGAGAGACAGAGAGAGAGAAUGAAGACAGAGAGAGAUUUACUAGUUAUUUUAAUGGUCUUGUAA
ensembl:lncRNA